AUGGCUAGUUGGGCCCAGGUUCGUGAUCUACCGUUUGAGCUUAAAACUGAAGAUGUGGGUUCGUCUCUAGGGGGCCAAAUUGGGGAGGUGAUAACCGUCUCACACCAGAAUCACAUGAUAGUAGAAAAGUUUUUGCGUAUUCGUGUGAAAGUCCCGCUACACGAGCCAAUCAAGAGUAGAGUAGAAUUCACUCCUCUAGGCAACAAAGAAAAACUUUACUUUGAUGUUCGUUAUGAAAAGUUGCCGUCAUAUUAUGAGUGUUGUGGGCUUGUAGGCCAUAUGUCGGAAAGGUUCUGUAGGACUCCUAAAGAGAGUAGAGUAGCUGCUUUUGCAAAAAACCUCAGUGUAGAGGCCUACUGGAAGGGAAAUACAGCUAGUAGAAGAGCUCUUGUGUACUCGGGCUAUAGUAGAAAAAUCAUCUCAAAGGCUACUGAACGGUGGUCAAAGUCACCAAAGCUGUGA
rnacentral:rRNA from 1 species